CCUACGGGUGGCAGCAGUGGGGGAUAUUGCACAAUGGGGGGAACCCUGAUGCAGCGACGCCGCGUGGGUGAAGAAGCGCCUCGGCGCGUAAAGCCCUGUCAGCAGGGAAGAAAAUGACGGUAACUGAAGAAGAAGCCCCGGCUAACUACGUGCCAGCAGCCGCGGUAAUACGUAGGGGGCAAGCGUUAUCCGGAUUUACUGGGUGGAAAGGGGGCGCAGACGGCGAUGCAAGCCAGGAGUGAAAGCCCGGGGGCGAAACCCGGGACUGCUCUUGGAAGUGCGUGGCUGGAGUGCAGGAGGGGCAGGUGGAAUUCCUGGUGUAGCGGGGAGAUGCGUAGAUAUCAGGAGGAACACCGGUGGCGAAGGCGGCCUGCUGGACUGCAACUGACGUUGAGGCCCGAAAGCGUGGGGAGCAAACAGGAUUAGAUACCCGGGUAGUC
rnacentral:rRNA from 1 species